UGUGGGGGUGACGUGAGCGCAGU
rnacentral:miRNA from 8 species